UGGGGAAUAUUGCACAAUGGGCGCAAGCCUGAUGCAGCGACGCCGCGUGAGGGAUGAAGGCCCUCGGGUUGUAAACCUCUUUCGGCAGGGACGAAGCGAAAGUGACGGUACCUGCAGAAGAAGUCCCGGCUAACUACGUGCCAGCAGCCGCGGUAAGACGUAGGGGACGAGCGUUGUCCGGAUUCAUUGGGCGUAAAGCGCGCGUAGGCGGCCACGCAAGUCGGAUGUGAAACCCCGGGCUCAAGCCCGGCCUCGGCACCCGAUACUGCGCGGCUAGAGGUAGGUAGGGGAGAUCGGAAUUCCUGGUGUAGCGGUGAAAUGCGCAGAUAUCAGGAGGAACACCGGUGGCGAAGGCGGAUCUUCUUGGGCCUUACCUGACGCUCAGGCGCGAAAGCUAGGGGAGCGAACA
rnacentral:rRNA from 1 species